rnacentral:rRNA from 1 species
AGUAGUCACGAGUUUGAUCCUGGCUCAGAACGAACGCUGGCGGCAUGCCUAACACAUGCAAGUCGAACGAACCCUUCGGGGUUAGUGGCGCACGGGUGCGUAACGCGUGGGAACCUACCAUCAGGUUCGGAAUAACAGUUAGAAAUGACUGCUAAUACCGGAUAAUGUCUUCGGACCAAAGAUUUAUCGCCUUUUGAUGGGCCCGCGUAAGAUUAGGUAGUUGGUGGGGUAAAAAGCCUACCAAGCCGACGAUCUUUAGCUGGUCUGAGAGGAUGAUCAGCCACACUGGGACUGAGACACGGCCCAGACUCCUACGGGAGGCAGCAGUGGGGAAUAUUGGACAAUGGGCGAAAGCCUGAUCCAGCAAUGCCGCGUGAGUGAUGAAGGCCUUAGGGUUGUAAAGCUCUUUUACCAGGGAUGAUAAUGACAGUACCUGGAGAAUAAGCUCCGGCUAACUCCGUG